AAGCUCCAUCCAUAAGGUUUUAUGUUUGACAGAAACCCCCUCAUGUUUUCAACCCUACCGAGGUUUUUUGUCAAGGUUUCUGUCAAAUUUAUAUAGUACAGGGUAGGAAACAUGAGGGGGUUGCUGUCAAGCAUAAAAGCAUUUGGAUGAUGCUUG
rnacentral:pre_miRNA from 1 species